AACGUACGCUGGCGGCACGCCUAACACAUGCAAGUCGAACGAAGUAGCAAUACUUAGUGGCAGACGGGUGAGUAACAUGUAGGUAUCUGCCCUUUGGCCUGGAAUAACACAAGGAAACUUGUGCUAAUACCGGAUAAGUCUUUACGGAGAAAGCUUUAUGCACCAUUGGAUGAGCCUGCACUUGAUUAGUUUGUUGGUGGGGUAAUGGCCUACCAAGACUGUGAUCAAUAGCUGAUUUGAGAGGAUGAUCAGCCACAUUGGGACUGAGACACGGCCCAAACUCCUACGGGAGGCAGCAGUGGGGAAUCUUGCACAAUGGAGGAAACUCUGAUGCAGCGAUGCCGCGUGAGUGAAGAAGGCCCUUGGGUUGUAAAGCUCUUUCGUCGGGGAAGAAAAUGACUGUACCCGAAUAAGAAGGUCCGGCUAACUUCGUGCCAGCAGCCGCGGUAAUACGAAGGGACCUAGCGUAGUUCGGAAUUACUGGGCUUAAAGAGUUCGUAGGUGGUUGAAAAAGUUAGUGGUGAAAUCCCAGAGCUUAACUCUGGAACUGCCAUUAAAACUUUUCAGCUAGAGUAUGAUAGAGGAAAGCAGAAUUUCUAGUGUAGAGGUGAAAUUCGUAGAUAUUAGAAAGAAUACCAAUUGCGAAGGCAGCUUUCUGGAUCAUUACUGACACUGAGGAACGAAAGCAUGGGUAGCGAAGAGGAUUAGAUACCCUCGUAGUCCAUGCCGUAAACGAUGUGUGUUAGACGUUGGAAAUUUAUUUUCAGUGUCGCAGGGAAACCGAUAAACACACCGCCUGGGGAGUACGACCGCAAGGUUAAAACUCAAAUGAAUUGACGGGGACCCGCACAAGUAGUGGAGCAUGUGGUUUAAUUCGAAGAUACGCGCAGAACCUUACCAACACUUGACAUGUUCGUCGCGACUCUAAGAGAUUAGAGUUUUCGGUUCGGCCGGACGAAACACAGGUGCUGCAUGGCUGUCGUCAGCUCGUGUCGUGAGAUGUUGGGUUAAGUCCCGCAACGAGCGCAACCCUCACUUUUAGUUGCCAUCAUUAAGUUGGGCACUCUGAAAGAACUGCCAGUGAUAAGCUGGAGGAAGGUGGGGAUGACGUCAAGUCCUCAUGGCCCUUACGUGUUGGGCUACACACGUGCUACAAUGGUAUCUACAACAGGAAGCAAGACUGCGAAGUUAAGCAAAUCCCUAAAAGAUACCUCAGUUCGGAUUGCACUCUGCAACUCGAGUGCAUGAAGCUGGAAUUACUAGUAAUCGUGGAUCAGCGUGCCACGGUGAAUGCGUUCCCGGGUCU
rnacentral:rRNA from 1 species